rnacentral:lncRNA from 1 species
AUGAGAGUUGACACUGAGUGGGCCUUCUUCACAAUACCUGCUUUUGACUGGUUGGUUCGAGUUGCAGUCUUCUUAAGCCAAUAUCCAACACCAUCACUCAAGUCAAACAGUAAAUGCAGCCGACAAUCUGUGGACCUGGGUGAUUGUAUAUUGUGCUGUCAUGCCUGUGGCAUCAUCAAUAGCAGCUCUCAACAUGGAGCCCCUUUAAACAGGAUAAAAAUGACAAAGAUAACUAUAGUUAAAAAGUGGAGCAAGAAAAAAUGGAAUGAAGUUGGAGUAACUGCAUGCCUUGAAUUGGGCCACAAAUCUGGCCUGGAGCUUCCUAGCAGCCCAUACAGGGUCUCAAGAUAGCACAAUACAGAGAGACACAGAGAGUCAGGCCGUCAGUGUACAGAUGGCAGAGGAAUGGGAGAGAAGCUGUAAAUGGAAGAAAAAACUUUCUGCAUCCCAUUUAUUCCCCUUUGAAAAGAAACCUGUUCUUGCUCUUUGGAGUGAAAAGGUAAAGAAC